AAUCAACGCUGGCGGCGUGCCUAACACAUGCAAGUCGAACGCGAGAGGGGCUUCGGCCCUGAUUGAGUGGCAAACGGGUGAGUAACGCGUGGGUGACCUACCUUCGAGUGGGGGAUAACGUUCCGAAAGGGACGCUAAUACCGCAUAACAUCCUGUCUUUGGACAGAUGGAGAUCAAAGCCGGGGAUCGUAAGACCUGGCGCUUGAGGAGGGGCCCGCGUCCGAUUAGCAGUUGGUGGGUAAUGGCUCACCAAGGCAACGAUCGGUA
rnacentral:rRNA from 1 species